AUGAAACCACAGGUAGCGUUAGGGGGUAUUUCCGCUUUCCCUAACGAUGCUAGCUACCGCGUUGUAACGGUGCUUGGCAGGUAGCAGCAACCGAGGGUCACUCAAUCACUGCAAACCACGUGAAAACCAAAUGCUCUGACUGACUGGGGGGGUUGGAGGCCUGACGUUAGCUACCUUUACCCCGACAGUGGACGUGAGUCUGGGUAGAAAAGGGGAGCUGAGUUAAAAUAGAUGUGGGCAGGCGAGAGGUGGACGCUUGGCCCCAAGCGUCUGUGGAGUCGUCUGUGCUGGAGGACCUCAGACUGGACCUAAUGCUCUUCAGAUACCAGGUGCCAUCUUUGAUGAGUCAGCACGGAAAGAUGACGAGGUGUUUCGCCUUGCCGUGGCAGAUCUCAAUUUGAACAAUGAGAUCUUGGAGACAGAGAAAAUCACCAUUUCUGUGGAAUUCGUUGAUGGGAACAACCCCUUCCAGGCUGUGCAAGAAGGACUUCAACUGGCUAGUUUUCAAAGUCAAAUUGGCUUUGCUUCUCAUUUCUGCUUUUUUCAUCCCUGACUGAUUAAACUCCUGUGGACCUCCAAAUCCCUCAGUGUGUUGACUGGCCUGUCCAAAUUUGUGGGUGGUACAAUGAGUACUUCCCUGUCUUACUGUCUGCCUGGUACUGAACAGACCUCCUAGCUCAUUUCCCUGCCAGUCUGCCUGCUGGUCUUUCUGUUUGUCCGUCUGUUCGUGUAGUUAGCUGGCUGAUGAAUU